rnacentral:rRNA from 1 species
AACGCUGGCGGCGUGCUUAACACAUGCAAGUCGAACGAGAAGAGAUGAGAAGCUUGCUUCUUAUUGAUUCGAGUGGCAAACGGGUGAGUAACGCGUAGGCAACCUGCCCUUCAGAUGGGGACAACACUUCGAAAGAGGUGCUAAUACCGAAUGACGUAUCCAUUCCGCAUGGAGAGGAUACCAAAGGCCGGGCAACCGGUCACUGAAGGAUGGGCCUGCGUCUGAUUAGCUAGUUGGUGGGGUAACGGCUCACCAAGGCGACGAUCAGUAGCCGGUCUGAGAGGAUGAACGGCCACAUUGGGACUGAGACACGGCCCAAACUCCUACGGGAGGCAGCAGUGGGGAAUCUUCCGCAAUGGACGAAAGUCUGACGGAGCAACGCCGCGUGAACGAUGACGGCCUUCGGGUUGUAAAGUUCUGUUAUACGGGACGAAUGGCGUAGCGGUCAAUACCCGUUACGAGUGACGGUACCGUAAGAGAAAGCCACGGCUAACUACGUG